ensembl:rRNA Gm23023 predicted gene, 23023
CUCAAUGGUUAUACUGCCCCGAACACUCCUGGUCUUGUCUGAGCUUGGAAGCAAGACAGGGUUGGGCCUGAUUAGUACCUGUAUCGGAGAGAUAGCAGGCAUGCUGAUA